CGGCCGUCGGGCCUGCGGAGGCCUGGCCGGGCCUCGCGGGCUCGUCUGGGUUCGCCCGGUUCGGAUGACUCCUGUCCGGGCCGGGGUCGGCCGG
rnacentral:tRNA from 1 species